GCAGUGUCUGCAUACAGCCACCCUUGACCUGUCUGCCUGGUCUUUGCAACCUCUAGUGACUGUUGUUCCACAAUGUGUAGUGAAGAGACCUGAAUGGUUUGCACCAAAACACAAACACAAACCAUUGGGAGAGUGAUUGGUGAAGUGGUGGACAUUUACUCAGGCAAAGGCAGGAACCUCCUUGCUUCCCUCUGAAGCUCCCUUUCUAGAAAGGUCAGAGCCGUUCCUUCCCAUUCAUGUGUUGAAAUAAGCACAUGAUUCAGUUAUCACCCUUCCUCAAACCCCUCCAGCUUACAUGCUUUGGAAACAAAGAAAGAAAAGAAACAAAGAAAUGAAGAACUUCUAGAAACAGGCAGCCAAGGUGGAUGGAGAGCAGAGAUGUUUCCUGUCUUCAGCUUCUUGAGAGCUCAUUGAUUGAGGCAGCAUCUCUCACAGCCUGAAGCCCAGCAAUUCAGCUUCUCUGGCUUGUCAGCAAGACUCCAGGACUCUCCUUUCUCGAUGUCCCCUGUGUUGGGAUUACAGGCCUACACAGCUAUACUUGGCUUCUCAUAUGGGCACCAGGAAACCCAGACCUUGGUGUUUGUUCAGUAAGCAUUCACUGACUUAGUCAUCUCCCUGGCCCCAGACUUUCUCCUUUCUCAAGGCUGAAUAGUAUUCUACUGUGUACAGCUGUAGACUUUACCCUUUCUCAAUCCACUAUUAGACAACAGACAACUGGUUUCUACUUCUGUAUUACGUUUCUAUUGCUGUGAUAAAACUCCCGAGACCAAUGCAACUUAUAGGGUUUGUUUGGGGCUUGUGUUGCCAGAAGGAUAAGAGCCCAUCACCAUCAAGACAGUAAAAUGGCAACAGGCAGGCAUAGUACUGGAGCAGUCACUGAGAGCUCAUGAAUUCAUCUACAAACAGAAAGAGGAGAUAACUGGAAAGGAAGCAAUGCUUUUGAAACCUCAAAGCCUGCUGCAAUGACAUACUUCCUCCAGCAAGGUCACACCUCCUAACCCUCCCUAAACAGCUACCAACUGUGAAUCAAGUACCUGCAACUUACAGAGAACAUCUCUUUGAAACCACCCAGCAUCCUUCUUGGCUAUUGUGAAUAAUGUUACAACGAACACAGUUCAGCUGCCUAUUCAAUAAAUGGAUUUAAUUUCUUUGGGA
rnacentral:lncRNA from 1 species